CGUAAGGCGCCGAAUGAGUCAUUAAAAAAAUUAACAUCAUCCGAUCCCUAGUCGGCAUAGUUUAUGGUUAAGACUACGACGGUAUCUGAUCGUCUUCGAUCCCCUAACUUUCGUUCUUGAUUAAUGAAAACAUCCUUGGCAAAUGCUUUCGCAGUAGUUAGUCUUCAAUAAAUCCAAGAAUUUCACCUCUGACAAUUGAAUACUAAUGCCCCCAACUAUCCCUAUUAAUCAUUACGUCGAUCCUAAGAAACCAACUAAAAUAGGAUCAAACGUCCUAUUUCAUUAUUCCAUGCUAAUGUAUUCAAGCGUUAGCUUGCUUUAAACACUCUAAUUUUUUCAAAGUAACAGUCCUGAUUCCCUGCAACACCAAAUUAAUGACAUCACAGUUCGUCAAGAAGGAGGAAUCAGUAAGACCAGUACAUACCAGUGGCACGACCAAUCUACUGACCCCGAAAUUCAACUACGAGCUUUUAACUGCAACAACUUUAAUAUACGCUAUUGGAGCUGGAA
rnacentral:rRNA from 1 species